UUUCUCUCUCCUCCAAUUUCAAUUUCAAUUUCAAUUCCAAUUCCAAUUCCAAUUCCAUUGCUGGAUUGCUGGCGUGCACAGAAAGAAGACAUGGUUUUGUCACAGAAGAUUCACGAAGCAUUCAAGGGAACUGUUGAAAGGAUAACUGGGCCCCGCACUAUUUCCGCUUUCAAGGAGAAAGGUGUUCUCAGUGUCUCCGAAUUCAUUCUUGCCGGCGAUAAUCUCGUCUCUAAAUGCCCUACUUGGUCCUGGGAAUCUGGUGAGCCGAGCAAAAGGAAAGCUUACUUACCACCUGAAAAACAAUUCUUGAUAACAAGAAAUGUUCCUUGUCUCCGGAGGGCUGCAUCAGUGGAGGAAGAAUAUGAAGCUGCCGGGGGUGAAAUUCUACUUGAUAAUGAGGAUAAUGAUGGCUGGUUGGCUACUCAUGGAAGACCGAAAGAACCUAAGCCUGAUGAGGAGGAAAACUUGCCUUCAAUGGAGUCAUUAGAGAUCACAGAGAGUAAACCAAUACAGUCUAUCUCCUCAUACUUUGGAGGUGAAGAGGAUGAUAUUCCUGACAUGGCAGAGUAUGAAGGGCAGGACAAUGUCAUUGAGGCAGAUCCAGCAACUCUUCAGACUACAUAUCUAGUUGCUCAUGAACCUGAUGAAGAAAAUAUAUUGCGAACACGUACAUAUGAUGUUAGCAUUACGUAUGACAAAUAUUAUCAAACUCCUCGUAUAUGGCUUACUGGAUAUGACGAGUCAAGGAUGCUCUUGCAACCAGAGCUAGUGCUUGAAGAUGUUAGUCAAGACCAUGCUCGCAAAACGGUAACUAUAGAAGAUCAUCCUCAUUUGCCUGGAAAGCAUGCUUCUGUGCAUCCAUGCAAACACGGUGCGGUGAUGAAGAAAAUUAUUGAUGUUCUGAUGUCACGUGGGGUUGAGCCAGAAGUUGACAAGUACCUCUUCUUAUUUUUGAAAUUUAUGGCAUCAAUAAUUCCAACUAUUGAAUAUGAUUACACCAUGGAUUUCGACAUGGGAAGCACCAGUUGAUCACAGGUGGAUACAUGUAGUUCAGCUAGCAGAGUAAUCUUUCUUUUUCUUCCAUGGAAUCUCUUAACCUCCCAAGUUGAUGGUAGUUGCAAGAUCAAUGAAACCAUGUGAUUUCUCCGAUGAGUGAAAUUCGUAAUCUCAUCCAUCAGUAAUUAUAUAGCAAGGAUGAGGUGGGUGAAGUCUCAGUUACUCUGUACAUGCUACUACUACACUAUUGCUCUUUAACCUAAGCUUGCUAAUGUUGUGCUUGUGCACUUAUGCUGUACAGUUUCAUGUUGUCUUUGAGACAUUUCAGUUGUUAUUGGACUUGUGACCCUAGAAAAAGAAAAAGACUUGUGUUAUGUUCCGCAUCAAUUCACAAAGCUGUGAAUUUUAUUUUUAUGUGACUUUAACAGUUAUGACAACAGCGCAGUACGAAUCUCA